UUUUACGGUUAUAUUGUACUGAAUUCAUCAGAACCCGUUUGAACUGUGAAGUUAAUCACUUUCAAGCUAUCUUAGUAGUUGGAUGGGAAACUUCUUAUGAACAAUUAGUGCCGUAAGUC
rnacentral:rRNA from 1 species